UUGGAGGGCAAGUCUGGUGCCAGCAGUCGCGGUAAUUCCAGCUCCAAUAGCGUAUAUUAAAGUUGUUGCAGUUAAAAAGCUCGUAGUUGAAUUUCGGGGUUAGUAGGUUGGUCAUGCCUCUGGUAUGUACUGGUCUCACUGAUUCCUCCUUCCUGAUGAACCGUAAUGCCAUUAAUUUGGUGUUUUGGGGAAUUUGGACUGUUACUUUGAAAAAAUUAGAGUGUUUAAAGCAAGCUAACGCUUGAAUACAUUAGCAUGGAAUAAUGAAAUAGGACGUUCGAUCCUAUUUUGUUGGUUUCUAGGAUUGACGUAAUGAUUAAUAAGGAUAGUUGGGGGCAUUAGUAUUCAAUUGUCAGAGGUGAAAUUCUUGGAUUUAUUGAAGACUAACUACUGCGAAAGCAUUUGCCAAGGAUGUUUUCAUUAAUCAAGAACGAAAGUUAGGGGAUCGAAGACGAUCAGAUACCGUCGUAGUCUUAACCAUAAACUAUGCCGACUAGGGAUCGGAUGAUGUUAAUUUUUUAAUGACUCAUUCGGCGCCUUACGGGAAAC
rnacentral:rRNA from 1 species